GACGAACGCUGGCGGCGUGCCUAAUACAUGCAAGUCGAGCGCAGGAAGUCAUCCGAACCCUUCGGGGGGACGUUGACGGAAUGAGCGGCGGACGGGUGAGUAACACGUAAAGAACCCGCCCUCAGGUCUGGGAUAACCACGAGAAAUCGGGGCUAAUACCGGAUGGGUCAUCGGACCGCAUGGUCCGAGGAUGAAAGGCGCUCCGGCGUCGCCUGGGGAUGGCUUUGCGGUGCAUUAGCUAGUUGGUGGGGUAACGGCCCACCAAGGCGACGAUGCAUAGCCGACCUGAGAGGGUGAUCGGCCACACUGGGACUGAGACACGGCCCAGACUCCUACGGGAGGCAGCAGUAGGGAAUCUUCCACAAUGGACGAAAGUCUGAUGGAGCAACGCCGCGUGAACGAUGAAGGCCCUCGGGUCGUAAAGUUCUGUUGUAAGGGAAGAACAAGUGCCGCAGGCAAUGGCGGCACCUUGACGGUACCUUGCGAGAAAGCCACGGCUAACUACGUG
rnacentral:rRNA from 1 species